UAGGGAAUCUUCCGCAAUGGACGAAAGUCUGACGGAGCAACGCCGCGUGAGUGAUGAAGGUUUUCGGAUCGUAAAACUCUGUUGUUAGGGAAUAACAAGUUGGGUAGUAACUGACCCAACCUUGACGUUACCUAACCAGAAAGCCACGGCUAACUACGUGCCAGCAGCCGCGGUAAUACGUAGGUGGCAAGCGUUGUCCGGAAUUAUUGGGCGUAAAGCGCUCGCAGGCGGUCUUUUAAGUCUGAUGUGAAAGCCCACGGAUUAACAGUGGAGGGUCAUUGGAAACUGGAGGACUUGAGUACAGAAGAGGAGAGUGGAAUUUCACGUGUAGCGGUGAAAUGCGUAGAGAUAUGGAGGAACACCAGUGGCGAAGGAGACUCUCUGGUCUGUAACUGACGCUGAGGAGCGAAAGCGUGGGUAGCGAACAGG
rnacentral:rRNA from 1 species